UGGAAACGGCUUUCUCAGUCUUAAUGUUGAAGCGAUUUAUUUUAUUCUGUUUUUAUAAGCUCCUUUUCCACACUUCCGGACCACGCUGCCAACGUUCCAAACAAUCUUCCCAACCCGACAGAACUUCCAAGCUGCCGACUGACUCAAACAGCCAGCCGCCAUCAGUCCAUCCGUCAGUCCACUGCACGCCUCUCGGUGAAAGCCACGGUUUGUUGUGAAAGCUUGUCUGUUCGUUCUGUUCUGCUUGCCUAUUGUUGUCGGUCGGUCGGUCGGUUGGGGUCUCGGAAAAUCAUCCCAAGCCAAUCCGAAGUCAAAACACACAUCAGCCGCCGUAGCCAGCCAUCCAGCGUGGAAAAUCCGACGCCGCGACGAGUCCGCUCAGUUUCGACUAAGCCGGCAUCCAGACUGGAUCGUUUGUUCGCGCUCUUCGAAUUUCGUUCAGCCAGCUCAAGCAGCAGCAGCGGGGUGAAUUUUCCGAGUGUUGUUCCACGUGCGCUGCUGCAGCAGCCCCCAAACAGCUCCAUCAGCUUAGGAGUGUGGAGAGUGUAUGUGUGCGUAUUUGUGUGGGGUAUAUUGAUGCUUUUUCUAUGGCAACGCGGGAUCACCGGAUGUUAAUGAUGGCGAUGAUGAUAAUAAUAAUGAUGGCGAAAGUGUUUGUUUAGCUCAGCAGGAAUUGUUGUCGCUGGAUUCCGGGAAGUAACUCCGAGUCGAUGUGUGUUUUUGUUGUCUGAAAAGAAGCAGUGUGUGGAGAGAGGAAAACUCAUUUUGGUGAAAGAAACCUAGAUACAGAAACCAUAAAGGAAAAGCGAAGAAUCCAUCGUGCAGUGCAACGGUAUUGUGUUUUUGUGAGGAUAAAAUCGACGCCGCCGCAAGCCAAAGGUUUCCGUCGGAUGGAGGAAAGCAUCUCGUUCUUCGCAUCACACUUCGCAGUUGGAAAAUGAUUUAUUGACUUGAACCACACGAGGUUCGAGAUUGGAUUCAACAAUCGUCAGCGUGCGCCGUGUACAUCGUGGGACCAAAAUUCGACAUCAGCUCAGCUGUUGUAUGUCCGUAUUGUGGCAGAAGAGUAGCAGCACAAUUUGGCGUGCUUCCGAAUCAAUCAAAAACUUUUUGGAAAAUUGAAUUGUUUGACGUGGGCAAACAAUCAGCGACUUUGGCAGCAAAGCGUAGUGGAUAAUUCUUGGUGAAUUGGUGAAGGAACAAACAAGCGAUAGCUCGAGGAAAGUGCACCGAAAGAAGGUACCGUUUACAUUUUGAACCUUGCAUCGAAAAUCUCGAUCACAAACUGUUCCAGUUUCAACGAGGAGGAAAAUUAUGUGCAAACUGUUCUAAACGAAAAACCAGUGCGAAGCAACAAAACAGAAAAGCGUUUUUUAUGAGUAAACAAGAUUUAAACUCAACUCGGAAAGAAGCAACCGGCUGAAGCAUCAUCGUCGGUGAGUGAGUGCGCGACUAAGGGAAAAGCGAAGCAUCGCAAGUCGCAGUGGCAUAAAAAUUACAAAUUGAAUCGCUCCCGCGUGCAGUUAGCAUGUGAAUUUGAUUUGUGUUUAUACCUAACUACAUAUAGUGUAAGCGGCAGCGUGGGACGAGCGAAGAAAACCGUCAAGAGCGCGCGCAGUUCGUGGCGAAACAAGGCUAGAAGGAGUUCUCUUCAUUAUUACCCCCAUCACCAGAGCCGGCUAGUCAGCCGCCGAGGAGGGAAACGAGAAUACCUACAUAGAACCCAUCGUAUCGUGUGAAAGUUGAAGGAAGUGACUUACUGUUCGCGGUUGGUGUAAUGAGGAAGGAUCGGCAGUGGCAGCGGAAGCAGUAGUGAGCAUUCAGUGAAGUGUGCUCAAGUGUGGGGAAGCCCCCGGCGUUGAAUGAUGUUCCGCAGGCUAUGAUGUAGGGAAACUAUCAAACGGGUGGCAGAAGAGAAAGAGGAAAGCGUGCGAAAGGGUUUUAAAUAGAGAUAUCAUUAGUGACUUGCAGACUCGUCCGUCGAGGGAUAUUGAUUGCCGGUUGAGGAGGAUUUCGACUGUUGAGAUCGAUAUUCAUUGGCAGUUUAAGGUGAGUACAAUGUCAAGAGGAGCAC